AUACGGAGGGUGCAAGCGUUAAUCGGAAUUACUGGGCGUAAAGCGUACGUAGGCGGUUCGUUAAGUUAGAUGUGAAAGCCCCGGGCUUAACCUGGGAACUGCAUUUAAAACUGGCGGACUAGGGUUGAGUAGAGGGGAGUGGAAUUUCAGGUGUAGCGGUGAAAUGCGUAGAGAUCUGAAGGAACACCAGUGGCGAAGGCGACUCCCUGGACUCGAACUGACGCUGAGGUACGAAAGCGUGGGUAGCAAACGGGAUUAGAAACCCCAGUAGUCC
rnacentral:rRNA from 1 species